rnacentral:rRNA from 1 species
CAGCAGCCGCGGGAAUACGAAGGGGGCUAGCGUUGUUCGGAAUUACUGGGCGUAAAGCGCACGUAGGCGGAUAUUUAAGUCAGGGGUGAAACCCCAGAGCUCAACUCUGGAACUGCCUUUGAUACUGGGUAUCUUGAGUAUGGAAGAGGUUAGUGGAAUUGCGAGUGUAGAGGUGAAAUUUGUAGAUAUUCGCAGGAACACCAGUGGCGAAGGCGGCUAACUGGUCCAUAACUGACGCUGAGGUGCGAAAGCGUGGGGAGCAAACAGGAUUAGAUACCCCUGUGUCCCUGUCUCUUAUACA